rnacentral:tRNA from 1 species
UCGAAUCCUAAACAGAAAAAGAAAGAGUUUGAUAUAAACC